UGAGGAAUAUUGGGCAAUGCCCGAAAGGGUGACCCAGCAACGCCGCGUGGAGGAUGAAGGUCGUAAGAUUGUAAACUCCUGUUAGAGGGGAAGAAUAACUAAGUUUGGAGCUUAGUAUGACUGUACCCUCAGAGAAAGCCCCGGCUAACUACGUGCCAGCAGCCGCGGUAAUACGUAGGGGGCAAGCGUUGUCCGGAUUUACUGGGUGUAAAGGGCGCGCAGGCGGAAUGGAAAGUCAGUGGUGAAAUCCUACAGCUUAACUGUAGAACUGCCUGUGAUACUUUCAUUCUUGAGUUCGGGAGAGAGAGACGGAAUUCCAGGUGUAGUGGUGAAAUACGUAGAUAUCUGGAAGAACACCAGUUGCGAAGGCGGUCUCUUGGUCCGAUACUGACGCUGAGGCGCGAAAGCGUGGGGAGCAAACA
rnacentral:rRNA from 1 species